rnacentral:rRNA from 1 species
CCUACGUGUGUCUGCAGUGAGGACUAUUGGUCAAUGUGCGGGAGCCUGAACCAGCCAAGUCUCGUGAGGGAAGACUGUCCUAUUGAUUGUAAAACUCUUUAGUCGGGGAGCAAAGCCGGGCACGCGUGCCCGGAGGGAGAGUACCCGCAGAAUAAGCAUCGGCUAACUCCGUGCCAGCAGCCGCGGUAAUACCGAGGAUGCGAGCGUUAUCAGGAUUUAUUGGGUUUAAAGUGGGCGUAGGCGGAUUUUUAAGUCAGCUGGAAAAUGUCCGGGCUCAACCCGCGCCGGCCGUGGAAACUGGUGAUCUUGAGUGGGCGAGAAGUAUGCGGAAUGCGUGGUGUAGCGGUGAAAUGCAUAGAUAUCACGCAGAACGCCGAUUGCGAAGGCAGCAUACCGGCGCCCGACUGACGCUGAGGCACGAAAGCGUGGGGAUCGAACAGGAUUAGAUACCCCAGUAGUC